AGAAGCAGGAACAAUGCUGCCGUGAAGAGCUGUGUGUGAGAAAACCACUCAGAAGGGCUGUCCAUGAGAUCAGAGGAGGUUCCCUUGGGUCUGGAGACCAUGCAGCCUCUCAGCUCUUUUGUUUGCUUUCUGAGUGCUCAGAGCCUCUGUCCUCCCUGCAGAAGCAGAAGCACCAGCUUGUCCCAUGUGGGUUCCUGCACAGAAGUGAGUGGCUCAAAGGGGGUUUCAGCAUCUCACUUGGAGGACUUCUUUGGUCUG